UAAAGGCCAGACGAGGCCACGGCAUCACAGUCGUUUCCAACAAGCCUUACCUGUAGCACCAGCAAGCGUCGACGAGGAGCACCUUCUUUACCCUGAAGUAUCUUGCGACGUUGUAGAUGACCCGAGGCCGCCGAGAAGGUCCCUCACACCAUCUGAGAUUGGACGAGAACCUGACCACUUCGAGAGGCAGUCGUUUGGCUAAUUGUGGUAACAAACUCGAGCUAAGCGUACUUUCCCAGAGAUACAACGUCCCCUGAGAGCGUGAAAAAGCACUAGCCGGCAGAACUCUACGGAUACCCCACACCUUCAAUCGUUUGACCAGAUCGCUAUCGAGAGAAUCCAAGCAACGGGAGUGAAAUCCUGUAUACAAGCAAAGAAAAAGAACUCCAUAUUUUCUCAUUAGCCGAUCGGAAAAAACGUUUCAGAACAAAUAGAACAAAGAGUGACCCUUUCUGAGUGAUAUUCUGAAUAGAUUUGUUUGACGAGUCCAACACAAAAGGAAAAA
rnacentral:lncRNA from 1 species